AGCUGAAUGACUGAAGAGACACUUCCUCAUUCAAUGCAGAUCAGCAAACUAACCACCAACAUUAACUCUCUUCAACAUGGACUAUGAGCUUUUGUUGAUCAUUACCUCACUAACAGGUGUCAUCUGUCAACACGUUACUCCAGUGAAAGACGAGAAGUCUGGUUCAGCAGACAGCCCUGUUUCUCUAUCCUGCAACUACAGUAAAGGUGCAGCAGAUUAUUUCUUCUGGUAUCGACAACAUCCAGGGAAACCUCCAGAGUUCCUGACAUUUAAUACGGAAGUUGAAGAAACGCAGAAAAAAUCCCAGUCUAGACUCUCUGGUAGAGUUCGAAAACAGGAAAGCCAGAUGGAUCUGCUGAUCUCCUCUGCUGCAGUGACAGACUCUGCUGUGUACUACUGCGCUGUGAAGCCCACAGUGACAGGAAACACCAGAACCCUGUACAAAAACCUGCAGUACUCCACAGCAGCCACUAGAGGGCCUCACUGCCUGUUAAACCACUAAAACCUGCAGUACUCCACAGCAGCCACUAGAGGG